rnacentral:rRNA from 1 species
UCAACGCUGGCGGCGCGCUUAACACAUGCAAGUCGAACGAGAAAGUGGAGCAAUCCAUGAGUACAGUGGCGUACGGGUGAGUAACACGUGGGUAAUCUGCCUCUUAGUGUGGAAUAACCCUGGGAAACCGGGGCUAAUACCGCAUAAGCCCGAAGGGGGAAAGUCGCAAGACGCUGAGAGAGGAGCCCGCGGCCGAUUAGCUAGUUGGGAGGGUAAGAGCCUACCAAGGCGAAGAUCGGUAGCCGGCCUGAGAGGGCACACGGCCACACUGGCACUGAAACACGGGCCAGACUCCUACGGGAGGCAGCAGUGGGGAAUCUUGCACAAUGGGGGAAACCCUGAUGCAGCGACGCCGCGUGAGCGAUGAAGCCCUUCGGGGCGUAAAGCUCUUUCGGCAGGGAAGAUGAUGACGGUACCUGCAGAAGCAGCUGCGGCUAACUACGUGCCAGCAGCCGCGGUAAUACGUAGGCAGCGAGCGUUGUUCGGAGUUACUGGGCGUAAAGGGUGUGUAGGCGGUUGUUUAAGUUUGGUGUGAAAUCUCCCGGCUCAACUGGGAGGGUGCGCCGAAUACUGAAUGACUAGAGUGCGGGAGAGGAGAGUGGAAUUCCUGGUGUAGCGGUGAAAUGCGUAGAUAUCAGGAGGAACACCGGCGGUGUAGACGGCUCUCUGGACCGCGACUGACGCUGAGACACGAAAGCGUGGGUAGCAAACAGGAUUAGAUACCCUGGUAGUCCACGCCCUAAACGAUGCAUAUUUGGUGUGGGCAGUUCAUUCUGUCCGUGCCGGAGCUAACGCGUUAAAUAUGCCGCCUGGGGAGUACAGUCGCAAGGCUGAAACUCAAAU